CCCCACAGUCAUGAGAGGCCAGGAGAUGCAUGCCUCGAUGUGAAUGAUAUUGAGUUGGCCACACCCAGCCAAUAACCUGACCACCAAGCCAUGUCCACCCAGUCACAUGACUACCAGCCACACCUAUCACCUAAGCCACGCCAACAGAAUCGGUUGUUAAAAAAAUUGAAUCCCACCCCUGAUUAUAAUUUGUAUGACAGAUAG